UGAUACUGGAGGAAAUCACUUUUUGAGUAAUGACAAAUAUUCAAAGAAAGACAAGUAGAUUUUAACAUAAAGUGCGCUAAAUAUAGCUGUCUUAAGGAUGACUAUGGGUCAUCUAUGCAGGCAUGCAUAUAUAUAUAUAUACUGCUUGCAUUCUUAAAAACCAGUCAGCAGACCUUACGCACUUGGGUCACUUGGCUUAUGUCAAGACGUGUGAGGCUCGAAAUAUGUUCCCAUCUACCACAAAGUGUUAGUUUCUCAGAACUGAAAGAUAUUUCUCAGAAUAUUAGUUUCUGGGAGCAGUGGAGUCAUUAAAGGGAGUCAGUCUUGCAUGGGCUUGAGAUUUAGAAUCAGAUCUGUUUGGUUUGAAUCCUAGCUCUGCUCUUUAUUACCUGUGUGAAUUUGGGCAAACGAUUCAUCUCUCUGAGCAUGAGUUAUGUCAUCUGUAAAAUGGGUUUUAUGAUACCUACCUCAUGAAAUUAUUUUUGGGGUUAUGAAUUUAACAUACAUAAUUAGAACUUUUCCUAUUUAAUAUGUACUAAAUAAAAGAUCUUCAUUAUUCUUGCUACCUGUACGCUCCUCCCAGGUACUGCACAUAGUUUGAAAGACAUACCAGUUACAUCCUCAUCCCUUCUGCAUGUUCCAUUUGAAUGGAGGACAGGCUUUAAAACUAAACUUUAACUGAUGGGAGCUAGAGAUAAAGGACAGAAGGAGGACAAAUAUGCCAGUCGAUCACCAUGGGACACCCAGGUUAAUGCCUGAUAAAUGAGCAGAAAGAAAAAGUUAGCAUCAUUCACCUUUGAUGUGUAGUUACUUGAUCCCUGUUUGCUUUUAAUUUGCUUAAGUUAGUUAUAAAAUAUCUUCUUUGUGAGUAAUUAGUUGUGCUUAUCUGCUUCUUGGAGGGUAGGUGUUGGAGGAGGUCAUCAAAAGGAUGUGACCGCUGGUCAGUCUGUGAGCUGGACCCGAACGAUCAGAGGUUCCUCAUCCCCUUCCCUGUCCUUGGAAUGUAUGUUCUGCCCCCCCCGCCCCAUUCCCACAGUGGGAGCCAGACUUGAGGAUGCAACCCUGAGAGAGUGAUGUGUUGUUGAGAUCAUCUAAACUCAGUAGUGACGGAACCUAGUUAAGGUUUCUACACACCCGUCUAAGACUCUGGAGGGCAGUGCAUAGGUAUUCUCAUCUCGUGACCACCCAAGACAAGCCUCUUAAGUAAGUCUUCCGGCUUAUUAGACCCGCAACCUGCCGGUCUGGAGUGAUCGACACCUUUCCUCUGUCUUUUCUUGCCCUCUGUGUAUGAGGCCAGUUUCAGAUUUCAUCUGGGAAGCUCCCAAGUUUUCAAAACAACAGAAGGAUGUCUUCAUGUUUUGUGCCACAAUUCCCUUCAGUGUGCUCUGCUAACUGUACCUAGUUCAGAAGGAAAAUUAAGUGGGUAUUGCAAACAUAGCAGUCAAGUUAACUCAUACUUAGUUUAAAACCGUCAUAUAUGGCUAUAUGAGGCUGUUCUUCGGUGGUGAAGAGACUGAGAUAUUCUUAAGGUUCCUAAUUUUCUUAACAAAUCAUAAAGCUAAAAAUAAUGUAAGCAAUCAAUUGGCUGCCCUUACCUUUAGAGAAGGCUGUGCCUAGCCCACCUCAGCAGAAAGUUCGUCUGGCUCAUUGCUUCCAAAAUAUUGUUUGUCAAAGGCAGUCCAGUGAGCUUCACCCUUCUUGUAUUCCUUUUCAAGGAAUAACCAUUGUCUUUUGAUGCCUGUUUUUAGCAAGUGACUGUGAAAUGUUAUAGAUGAAUUUCUUGGUGGAAAUAUAAAACUAAUUCACCACUCAAAAGUAUUGUGAGAAUUACAUGCACUUCUGUCCUCAGAAGAGCGAUAAAGAUGAAGUGAGCAGAUGAUAAAGGCAUUACCCUUUCACCUCAUGUCGCCCAUCACACCGUUUUAUUAUUGUGCAUAAAGAGUAGGUAUAAUUUUCAUAUCCAGAUGAGACACAUACACACUUUAAAGAUAUGUCAGUGGGCUGUAAAAAUCCCUCUUCACAGGCAUUAAUUUCUACAAGUUCAUCCUUGAUUAAUAUACAAUAAUAAUAAUUUAUAUGGUUAACAAUGAUUUGGUGCUUACUAUGUGCCAGAUACUAUGAUAAUUACAUACAUGCCAAAUUCUCAUAACAUUUUGUGAAGACAGGUAUUUAUCAGCUGUGUUUCCCAGAUGAGGAAGGUGAAACUUGGAGAAGUUAGGUAACUUUCUCAAGAUUUCUGCAGCUUAGUUGGUAACCAAUGUAUGUUUUGAGUUCAGGCUGACUUGAUUCUGAAGCCUUUGAUGUUGGUAACUAGUCAGAAAUCAGCAGAAGAAAGUUGACGUGGGGGCCAAUAUAUGAUUGUUUUUAUGUAAUACUAUUCUUUUAUGUGUUUCUGGGAGCAUUUGAUUAACAUAAGCAACAUGGGUUUACUAAGCUAUUUACCUCCGUGUCUUCUUUGCAAGCUUGUGGAUGUGACCCUCUCUGCGGGUGAGUGCCACCGGGAGUGAACGACAGCCUCGGAGAUUACGUAAGCACUUAGUGCCAUGGAGCCAAUAAGAGGGCCUAGACUAAGAGCAACUGGGAUGUGUGAAAACGGAUGCUGCUACAAAAAUUAAACCAAUCAGACACUUAUUAAUUCAACAAAGCAGUAAAAAACAAACAACUAUUAUAGCCCAAAUGAUUUUAGGUUUAAAAAACAUACCAAAAAAAAAAACCCAGCAUAAAUUCUCUGUUCUUUACAAGCUGACAUUUUAGUGUGUAUGGCAGGAGAGGAAUUGAUAGGUGUUGUAAUUAAUAAUUGCAAUAAUAAGGUGCAGUCCACAGUAGAGGCAUGGAAGAAAGUAUAGAAGGGAGUGUUUAACUGGUUAGAGUUUAAAAAGUGAUUUUAGAGAAAGUUAUCAUUGAGUGUGAGAUGGAGUCCUUCAGGUGAUGUGGAGACGUGACAAGAUGGGCAUUCCAGAAAGAAGAAACGGUGUGUGCAAAGGCAUCGGGAGACUAAGUAGUUUGGCGCAGCUGAAAUGUUAAGGGUCCUGAGAGCCACGCGGGCACAUCUUGGACUGUUCUCGCCAAAACCAUGCCAUAAUUUGCUUCUCUCUCACUCUCUUUCUCUCUGUCUCUGUUUCUCACUUUCUCUAUCAGUUUACUUUGUGGAAUUGGCUCAAGUGACUGUGGCAUUGUGGGCGCUGGCGAGUCUGAACUCUGUGAGGCAGGUCAGCAGCAGCCUAGAAAUUCAGGCCUCUCAGGAGUUGGGUCAUUUUCUGAUUCUGAUGAUGGUGGUGCUGCUUUAAUCCUCAUGGGAUGAAUCCAUGGCUUUACCUCAGCUAAUUUGACAGAUGAGUGCAUGGAGGCCCAUGGCUACCUAUGCCAGGUUGGUAUUCAGGAAGAAGCAGCGCCGCCAGGGUUCUGCGCAGAGAUAAUAGUUGCUUCCGUGAAAGAGCCUCGGGAUAUUUCAUUUGGAAUGUCGACUUCAAGUGUGGCUGAACUUGGCACCAAUCUAGUGACAUUUAAAAGGCUGGCUUUGUUUCCAUAUCUCUCCCUUUUGCUGAGUCACAGAUACAGAUGACACAUUUGACGAUCAGGUGCGAGACAGCACAGGACAGCUCAAAAACAGACCGAAACAUACAAUUUGAUUAAAAGAAAUGAACACAGGAUCCUUUCUUUGAGCUCAGACCCUGCACGUGCCAAGGAAAAUGAUCUCCCCAACCCCAUGCCUCACACUGGAAAGGACUCAGAGGGCUGUGUUUGUUCGCUGGCUUUGAUUCUGCGAAUGAAAUUUUCUUUUAAGUAAAGAACAAACAAAC